UACGGAGGGUGCAAGCGUUAUCCGGAUUUACUGGGUUUAAAGGGUGCGUAGGUGGGUCUGUAAGUCAGUGGUGAAAUCUCCGAGCUUAACUCGGAAACUGCCAUUGAUACUAUAGGUCUUGAAUUAUCUGGAGGUAAGCGGAAUAUGUCAUGUAGCGGUGAAAUGCUUAGAUAUGACAUGGAACACCAAUUGCGAAGGCAGCUUACUACACAAAUAUUGACGCUGAGGCACGAAAGCGUGGGGAUCAAACAGG
rnacentral:rRNA from 1 species